UUGAACGCUGGCGGCAUGCUUUACACAUGCAAGUCGAACGGUAACAGGCCUUCGGGUGCUGACGAGUGGCGAACGGGUGAGUAAUGCAUCGGAACGUACCCAGAGGUGGGGGAUAACGCAGCGAAAGCUGUGCUAAUACCGCAUGUGAUCUGAGGAUGAAAGCGGGGGACCGAGCAGCAAUGUUUGGCCUCGCGCCUUUGGAGCGGCCGAUGUCGGAUUAGCUAGUUGGUGGGGUAAAGGCCUACCAAGGCGACGAUCCGUAGCUGGUCUGAGAGGACGACCAGCCACACUGGGACUGAGACACGGCCCAGACUCCUACGGGAGGCAGCAGUGGGGAAUUUUGGACAAUGGGCGCAAGCCUGAUCCAGCAAUGCCGCGCGCGGGAAGAAGGCCUUCGGGUUGUAAACCGCUUUUGGCAGGAACGAAACGGUGUCCGCUAAUACCGGGCGCUAAUGACGGUACCUGCAGAAUAAGCACCGGCUAACUACGUG
rnacentral:rRNA from 1 species